AUUGAACGCUGGCGGCAGGCCUAACACAUGCCAGUCGAGCGGAUGAAGGGAGCUUGCUCCUGGAUUCAGCGGCGGACGGGUGAGUAAUGCCUAGGAAUCUGCCUGGUAGUGGGGGAUAACGUCCGGAAACGGGCGCUAAUACCGCAUACGUCCUGAGGGAGAAAGUGGGGGAUCUUCGGACCUCACGCUAUCAGAUGAGCCUAGGUCGGAUUAGCUAGUUGGUGGGGUAAAGGCCUACCAAGGCGACGAUCCGUAACUGGUCUGAGAGGAUGAUCAGUCACACGGGAAGUGAGACGCGGCCAAGACUCCUAGGGGAGGCACGAGGGGGGAAGUUUGGAGAAGGGGGGAAAGCUGGAUCCAGCCAGGCGGUGGGGGAGAAGAAGUUUUUGGGUUAUUAAAGCUUUUAAGGGGGGGGGAAAGGGCAGAAAUUAAAGCCUUUGUUUUUUGGACGUAACAAAAAAAAAAACACCGGGCAAAUUUGGUC
rnacentral:rRNA from 1 species